rnacentral:rRNA from 1 species
UACGGAGGGUGCAAGCGUUGCUCGGAAUCACUGGGCGUAAAGCGUACGCAGGCGGUGCGUUAAGUCGGGUGUGAAAGCCCAGGGCUCAACCCUGGAAGUGCACUCGAAACUGGCGCGCUAGAGUAUAGGAGAGGGAAGCGGAAUUCCUGGUGUAGAGGUGAAAUUCGUAGAUAUCAGGAGGAACAUCAGUGGCGAAAGCGGCUUCCUGGCCUAUAACUGACGCUCAUGUACGAGAGCGUGGGGAGCAAACAGG